rnacentral:rRNA from 1 species
UACGUAGGGUGCAAGCGUUGUCCGGAAUUAUUGGGCGUAAAGGGCUCGUAGGCGGUCCAUCACGUCGGGAGUGAAAAGCUGGGGCUUAACCCCAGUCCUGUCUUCCGAUACGGGUGGACUAGAGGUAGGCAGGGGAGAACGGAAUUCCUGGUGUAGCGGUGAAAUGCGCAGAUAUCAGGAGGAACACCGGUGGCGAAGGCGGACUUCUGGGCCGU